UACGUAGGGGGCGAGCGUUGUCCGGAAUUACUGGGCGUAAAGGGUGCGUAGGCGGUUGAUUAAGUUGGAUGUGAAAUACCCGGGCUUAACUUGGGGGGUGCAUUCAAGACUGGUCAACUAGAGUACAGGAGAGGGAAGCGGAAUUCCUAGUGUAGCGGUGAAAUGCGUAGAUAUUAGGAGGAACACCGGUGGCGAAGGCGGCUUUCUGGACUGACACUGACGCUGAGGCACGAAAGCGUGGGGAGCAAACAGG
rnacentral:rRNA from 1 species